rnacentral:rRNA from 1 species
GAUGAACGCUGGCGGCGUGCCUAACACAUGCAAGUCGAACGGAGUAUUAUAAAGUUUUCGGAUGGAAUAAUGCUUAGUGGCGGACGGGUGAGUAACGCGUGGGUAACCUGCCUCAUACAGGGGGAUAACAGUUGGAAACGGCUGCUAAAACCGCAUACGAUUAAGAGACCGCAUGGUUUCUUAAUGAAAUAUUCAUAGGUAUGAGAUGGGCCCGCGUCUGAUUAGCUAGUUGGUAGGGUAACGGCCUACCAAGGCGACGAUCAGUAGCCGGCUUGAGAGAGUGACCGGCCACAUUGGGACUGAGACACGGCCCAAACUCCUACGGGAGGCAG